CCAUCAUUCAGUUGGGGACUCUAGAGAGACUGCCGGUGAUAAACCGGAGGAAGGUGGGGAUGACGUCAAAUCAUCAUGCCCCUUAUGGCCUGGGCUACAAACGUAAUACAAUGGCGUAUACAAAGGGAUGCGAAAGGGCGACCUGGAGCAAAACUCACAAAGUACGUCUCAGUUCAGAUUGGAGUCUGCAACUCGACUCCAUGAAGGCGGAAUCGCUAGUAAUCGCGGAUCAGCAUGCCGCGGUGAAUACGUUCUCGGGGUUU
rnacentral:rRNA from 1 species